AUUGAACGCUGGCGGCAGGCCUAACACAUGCAAGUCGAGCGGAUGACGGGGGCUUGCUCCUGGAUUCGGCGGCGGACGGGUGAGUAAUGCCUAGGAAUCUGCCUGGUAGUGGGGGACAACGUUUCGAAAGGAACGCUAAUACCGCAUACGUCCUACGGAAGAAAGCAGGGGACCUUCGGGCCUUGCGCUAUCAGAUGAGCCUAGGUCGGAUUAGCUAGUUGGUGAGGUAAUGGCUCACCAAGGCGACGAUCCGUAACUGGUCUGAGAGGAUGAUCAGUCACACUGGAACUGAGACGCGGUCCAGACUCCUACGGGAGGCAGCAGUGGGGAAUAUUGGACAAUGGGCGAAAGCCUGAUCCAGCCAUGCCGCGUGUGUGAAGAAGGUCUUCGGAUUGUAAAGCACUUUAAGUUGGGAGGAAGGGCAGUAAGCGAAUACCUUGCUGUUUUGACGUUACCGACAGAAUAAGCACCGGCUAACUCUGUGCCAGCCGCCGCUGUAA
rnacentral:rRNA from 1 species